rnacentral:lncRNA from 12 species
GAUCCUUGUGGGUCCUGAAUUAACAGCCUCUGAGUUUGUUGUAAACACAGAUCUGAGAAUCAUGACCAGCCCUGGAACUAGUUUCCCCGAUGGUCGUGCCCACAUCUUAGUUCUGACUGUCUUUCUGGGCCGUGGGAUUAUUUGUCUCUUUUUGGCUCCAGGUCCUGAUCCUCCUGGGGCCCCACCUCAUCACCAGCUCCUAUCCCACAGAGACUCUCAUUGGGAAUUAUCUGAGAACAGUUUUCAUCCUCUGAUGGUUGUGAGGACGAGGACCAUCUUGAUAACUUUGGAGCCAUGAUGGCCCACGGGGGUGCCUGGCACAAAGUAGGUGGCCAUCAGUGAAGGGACAGGUGAGAGCAGGUCAGGAGCAGUGCUCACAGCUCUGGCUGUGCUUACGACAUCUCCGGGGAGCUUUUAUGUAAUACCCACUCCUGUGACCUUCCCGGAGAAUUCUUGAUCCAGUUGACGUGGAGUGAAGAGCUGCCGUAGGUAUUUUCGUAAACUACUCGAGUGAUUCAAUGUACACUUGAGGUAUUGGAGCUGAGAGCCAAUAGGACAGAGUAUAAAAAUAUACUAUUCAAUU